rnacentral:lncRNA from 1 species
AACGACAUAAUUCCAACAACACUAUUUAAAUAUUGGACAUAAAUUAAUAUAGUACACUCAACAACCUUUUUAGGUCAAAUGCCACAAACGCCAUUGGAUGAUAAACAUCAUGGGUAACAAAUCAUGGUACAAAUGUUUUGAAAGGAGAAUAUAGGACAGAAAAAGUUACAGUACAGUUUGUCGAUGAAAACAAUGAAAAGAAAGAUCCUUGAAACUCCUUGACAAACCUCAAGAUAGAUAAUGCGGAAAAAAACAAACACACUAUAGUACUAAUGUAGACGUGGAUUGGUGCAUUCCUCCCAUGAUUUUCCAAAGAUUUGAAGCCCUGAAAAUAACAACUUAGAACACUAAAUAUCAUCAAAAUCCUAGGUAAUGUGUAUACUAGAAAAAAUUGAAUUGCAUGUCAACGAAAAUUAAGAACACAAAAAAUAAAAAUGAUGUUGAUCUCCAAAUUUUCCUUCUUUUAUCACUCAAACUGAAUUAGAGACAAAUUUUGAUUUUUCUUUUUGUUUAAAAUUUUCUAUUAUUAUUAUUAUUUAUUAUUUUUUUUGUCAGGCUUGAAAUUUCAUCUUUAAAGAUGGUUAAGUGGAGUAUCCGAUGUUCGAACUCCGGCUCCUGCAUAUAAAAUGCUGAUGUCCCUACCAAUUGAGCUAAACUCACGGGAACAUUAUUAUUAUUAUUAUUAUUAUUAUUAAUUAAUAAUUUGGCGAUAUUUAUUUCAAGUUAUAUUUUUAAUUUCCUGAGAAUAAAAUGAUAGAAAAAUGCAUUUGUGUUCUAUAAAAAAAAAAUGCAUUUGUGUAUUUGUUAGAAGUUUAAUAAAUUUUAUUCUCAUGUAUAAAAGAUUUCUGGAAAAUGCAUUUUUGUCAUUUUAUGCGAUUGUGAAUAAAAUUUAUUUAAUAAGGGAAUUGGAAAAUGCAUUUGUAUCAUUUUUCCCCCUUACUAAUUUUAUAUAACUUUUAUUAAAAGCAGAAAGAUUUAUUUUUAGAUCAGGGUCAUAUUUUUUUAAAAAAAAACUCAGUAUCCAGUCUAGUCCAAGAUCGCCAGAUCAAGUUGAUAUUAAACACUCUCCCGUUUUUUUGACUAAAUUACACUCUCCCGUUAAUUACACUUUUAUCAGUGAAUUAAUUAAAAGAUUUUUUAAAGUAUUAUGAUGGUUUUUCACUUUCUUUCUGUAUUGUAUUGCACCGAUGGAUAUUUUGGUGUAUUUUUUUUUUUUUAUCUUUUUUUUGGUGUAUUUUGUAUUGCAGAAUUUAUGUUGGAUAUAUUUAUUCUAAGAAGAGAAAUAUUUUUAUAUGGGAAAAUAAACUUCAAUUCUCUUAUUCAUUCUCAUUCCUAUUCUCUUGUUCUCACAUAUUAAGAAACAGAAAAAUGACAGAAGUCUCCAAAUUUGUUAUUCUUAAAACAUAGAGUCAGGGUUAAAAUUAAAGAUGAAUUCCAAGUUUUUCUUUCUCUAUAUAUCAUCAAAAUUCUAGGGUUAUUUUUAGAGCCAACGUUUACCAAAGAAAUUUAAGAACAAAUUUUCCAUCUUUUAUCACUCUAAUUAAAAUAGAAUUAGAGACAAAUUUUUAUUAAUAAUAAUAUUCAACUUUUUUCAUAGUAAAUUAUAACAAAUUAUUUUUUAAGAAGCUCUCUUUUCUUUCUUGAGAAGUUUCUUUUAAUCAUACUUUGAGAGAAGGAAACGAAUGUGCUGAUUGGUUGGCAAAAUUUGGGGCCACUAACGUCGAAUUCUUGAAGAUGUGGAGUUCUCCUCCUGCACAAUUGAAUAUCAUCCUGCUUGCGGAUACUUCUGGGGUCCUAAGGCAGCGGAUUGGCUAUUGUUUUUUUCCUCUAUUUUUGUUUUUUUUAUUUCCCUUUGAUAAAAAAAAAUAUUUUUUAAGAAGAUACUACUAAUUUUUGUUUUGAUUGUGAAAAAAAAAUUAUUAGCAACAAAAUUUCAUGUUUUACAUCUCUAAUAAUUUUCCUUUUUUUUUGGAAAGGCCAAGAUAAUAAAUUAUAUUAAUUGAAAGCAAGGAAAAAGGUAAGGUAUGCCAUAGUACACAAGAUAAUUUUCAAUUUUUAAUCAAUUUUUUUUAGUAAAUUAGCAAUUAUUUUUCAUGAAAAACAAAACACAAACUGACACACAUGACAUACCUGUAGAAAGAUUCAUGCUAGCUAUUGCA